UCCCUGGUGGUCCAAUGCUUAGGACUCGGUGCUUUCAGUGCUGAGACCCAGGUUCAAUCCCUGGUCAGGGAA
rnacentral:tRNA from 1 species